CCUACGGGGGGCUGCAGUAAGGAAUAUUGGUCAAUGGACGAAAGUCUGAACCAGCCAUCCCGCGUGCAGGAUGAAGGUCCUAUGGAUUGUAAACUGCUUUUAGCAGAGAAGAAAAGCAUUCAUUUAUGAGUGUCUGACGGUAUCUGCGGAAUAAGCACCGGCUAACUCCGUGCCAGCAGCCGCGGUAAUACGGAGGGUGCAAGCGUUAUCCGGAAUCACUGGGUUUAAAGGGUGCGUAGGCGGAAUAUUAAGUCAGUGGUGAAAGCCUGUCGCUUAACGAUAGAACUGCCAUUGAUACUGAUAUUCUUGAAUUGGGUUGAGGUUAGCGGAAUGUGACAUGUAGCGGUGAAAUGCAUAGAUAUGUCAUGGAACACCAAUUGCGAAGGCAGCUAGCUGGGCCUUGAUUGACGCUGAGGCACGAAAGCGUGGGUAGCGAACAGGCUUAGAUACCCCGGUAGUC
rnacentral:rRNA from 1 species